rnacentral:rRNA from 1 species
GAUGAACGCUGGCGGCGUGCCUAAUACAUGCAAGUCGAGCGAACAGAUGAGGAGCUUGCUCCUCUGACGUUAGCGGCGGACGGGUGAGUAACACGUGGAUAACCUACCUAUAAGACUGGGAUAACUUCGGGAAACCGGAGCUAAUACCGGAUAAUAUAUUGAACCGCAUGGUUCAAUAGUGAAAGACGGUUUUGCUGUCACUUAUAGAUGGAUCCGCGCCGCAUUAGCUAGUUGGUAAGGUAACGGCUUACCAAGGCAACGAUGCGUGGCCGACCUGAGAGGGUGAUCGGCCACACUGGAACUGAGACACGGUCCAGACUCCUACGGGAGGCAGCAGUAGGGAAUCUUCCGCAAUGGGCGAAAGCCUGACGGAGCAACGCCGCGUGAGUGAUGAAGGUCUUCGGAUCGUAAAACUCUGUUAUUAGGGAAGAACAAAUGUGUAAGUAACUAUGCACGUCUUGACGGUACCUAAUCAGAAAGCCACGGCUAACUACGUG